CACGUAGGGGACGAGCGUUGUCCGGAUUCAUUGGGCGUAAAGCGCGCGUAGGCGGCUCGGAAAGUCGGUCGUGAAAUGCCGGGGCUCAACCCCGGGACUGCGUCCGAUACUCCCGAGCUGGAGGCAGGUAGGGGAGAUCGGAAUUCCUGGUGUAGCGGUGAAAUGCGCAGAUAUCAGGAGGAACACCAAUAGCGAAGGCAGCUCGCUGGGACGGUACUGACGCUAAGGCGCGAAAGCGUGGGGAGCGAACAGG
rnacentral:rRNA from 1 species